ACGGGUGAGUAAUGUCUGGGAAACUGCCUGAUGGAGGGGGAUAACUACUGGAAACGGUAGCUAAUACCGCAUGACCUCGUAAGAGCAAAGUGGGGGACCUUCGGGCCUCACGCCAUCGGAUGUGCCCAGAUGGGAUUAGCUAGUAGGUGAGGUAAUGGCUCACCUAGGCGACGAUCCCUAGCUGGUCUGAGAGGAUGACCAGCCACACUGGAACUGAGAUACGGUCCAGACUCCUACGGGAGGCAGCAGUGGGGAAUAUUGCACAAUGGGCGCAAGCCUGAUGCAGCCAUGCCGCGUGUGUGAAGAAGGCCUUAGGGUUGUAAAGCACUUUCAGCGAGGAGGAAGGGUUCAGUGUUAAUAGCACUGUGCAUUGACGUUACUCGCAGAAGAAGCACCGGCUAACUCCGUGCCAGCAGCCGCGGUAAUACGGAGGGUGCAAGCGUUAAUCGGAAUUACUGGGCGUAAAGCGCACGCAGGCGGUUUGUUAAGUCAGAUGUGAAAUCCCCGAGCUUAACUUGGGAACUGCAUUUGAAACUGGCAAGCUAGAGUCUUGUAGAGGGGGGUAGAAUUCCAGGUGUAGC
rnacentral:rRNA from 1 species